GUGCCAGCAGCCGCGGUAAUACGUAGGGUGCAAGCGUUAAUCGGAAUUACUGGGCGUAAAGCGUGCGCAGGCGGUUGUGCAAGACAGAUGUGAAAUCCCCGGGCUUAACCUGGGAACUGCAUUUGUGACUGCACGGCUAGAGUGUGUCAGAGGGGGGUAGAAUUCCACGUGUAGCAGUGAAAUGCGUAGAUAUGUGGAGGAACACCGAUGGCGAAGGCAGCCCCCUGGGAUAACACUGACGCUCAUGCACGAAAGCGUGGGGAGCAAACAGGAUUAGAUACCCUGGUAGUCC
rnacentral:rRNA from 1 species